AUGGAAGAUUCCACCAAUCUUUAUCUAGGGAAAUCAAAGAAGGGGGUGUACUGCACUUUGAUUUAUAAUGAUACCUGGGGGGGACUUCAGAUUUGGUUGCUUACUGAAUCAUGUGGUAAGUGGGAGUGGGUGCUAAAGAAUGGCAUCAACUUCGCGGCAGCGGUGGCAAAAUUUUCUUGGUUUUCUCGUGAUGAAAACCAAGGACCGUGGAUCCUACAGAAAGGUGAUUGUGAUGAAAAUGUUAAGGAAGCACCAGUGCAAGAUAACUAUGAAUGGGACUUCGACAAUGGUAUUAUCCUUGCGGCUGAAGAUAAGGUUGAAUCUGACGAUAUGAAUUUGGGAGUGCUUUAUUUCCUUGGAUUUCAUCCAUACAAAGAGAUUGUCUUCCUACGAACACAAGCGAGGGUAGUUGCUUAUGAUUUCAGUAGAUUGAAAGUACAAGACUUGGGCCCGUUACGUGUACAGUGUGUAGGAAGUGUUUUCCCCUACACACCAUGUUGGACGGGAGAUAUAUCUGAAAAGAAUUAA
rnacentral:rRNA from 1 species